CGCGCAGGCGGUCGCCCGCGUGUGUGGUGAAAGCUCCUGGCUUAACUAGGAGAGGUCCAUGCAGACGGGGUGGCUUGAGCGUCGGAGAGGGGCAUGGAAUUCCGGGUGGAGCGGUGAAAUGCGUAGAGAUCCGGAGGAACACCAAUGGCGAAGGCAGUGCCCUGGCCGACGGCUGACGCUCAGGCGCGAAAGCGUGGGGAGCAAACAGGAUUAGAUACCCUGGUAGUCCACGCCGUAAACAAUGUCCACUGGGUGUGCAAGGUAUCGACCCCUUGUGUGCCGUAGCUAACGCAAUAAGUGGACCGCCUGGGGAGUACGGUCGCAAGAUUAAA
rnacentral:rRNA from 1 species